CCUACGGGGGGCUGCAGUGAGGAAUAUUGGUCAAUGGACGAGAGUCUGAACCAGCCAAGCAGCGUGAAGGAUGACGGCCCUAUGGGUUGUAAACUUCUUUUUUCUGGGAAUAAAAUGUUCCACGUGUGGGAUUCUGUAUGUACCAUAUGAAUAAGGAUCGGCUACCUCCGUGCCAGCAGCCGCGGUAAUACGGAGGAUCCGAGCGUUAUCCGGAUUUAUUGGGUUUAAAGGGAGCGUAGGUGGGUUGUUAAGUCAGUUGUGAAAGGUUGCGGCUCAACCGUAGAAUUGCAGUUGAAACUGGCAGUCUGGAGUACAGGAGAGGUGGGCGGAAUGCGUGGUGUAGCGGUGAAAUGCUUAGAUAUCACGAAGAACACCGAUUGCGAAGGCAGCUCACUGGACCGCAACUGACGCUGAGGCUCGAAAGUGUGGGUAUCAAACAGGAUUAGAUACCCCGGUAGUC
rnacentral:rRNA from 1 species